rnacentral:lncRNA from 1 species
GACGAAAUAUUUUCAGAAGGUGAGAGAUCUCGUAGCACACCUCAAGUAUUUUGAGAUCUCUCACAUUUCCAGGAUGGAGAAUGCUCGAACCGACGCACUCUCCAGGCUCAUGACAUCCGCCUAUGGUGCUUUAGGAUGGAUGCUUGUAGAGAGUCUUGAGCAACCGAGCAUCGACAGAGCUGAGGAGGUGCUACAACUAACGACCGAGCCAGGCUGGAUGGAUCCGAUAGUUCAGUAUCUGACUGACGGAACCAGUUCUGAAGAUCCCGUG